GUGAGGAAUAUUGCACAAUGGGCGAAAGCCUGAUGCAGCAACGCCGCGUGAGUGAUGAAGGCCUUUGGGUCGUAAAACUCUGUCCUUGGGGAAGAAAAAAAUGACGGUACCCUUGGAGGAAGCCCCGGCUACCUACGUGCCAGCAGCCGCGGUAAUACGUAGGGGGCAAGCGUUAUCCGGAAUUAUUGGGCGUAAAGAGUGCGUAGGUGGUUUUGUAAGCGUAGGGUGAAAGGCAGUAGCUCAACUAUUGUUAGCCCUGAGAACUGUGAGACUUGAGUUCAGGAGAGGAAAGUGGAAUUCCUAGUGUAGCGGUGAAAUGCGUAGAUAUUAGGAGGAACACCAGUGGCGAAGGCGACUUUCUGGACUGUAACUGACACUGAGGCACGAAAGCGUGGGUAGCAAACAGGAUUAGAAACCCCAGUAGUCC
rnacentral:rRNA from 1 species